UUCAGGUCGGGCUUUUUUCAAUACCAUUGUGAACCACGUAUGGAUUAUCAGUACUACCUCAGGGAUGCAGAAGCCCUGCAUGACGUAAGACUCAUGAUGGAUGUGAAAUAAGACUGCUAGGUCUUCUAGAGCCCUGCCUGGCCUCCAUGUCCCCCAUCCCUGCCAUUCCUCUGAGAACCAAUGGUUUCAGUCACCUCCUGUUUUACCACAUUGGUAUGGACGGAUUUCCCCAUUGGGCUCAUGGGAUUGGCCAGGCGAGCUUGACGGUGGUUUAUUAGUUGCUUAUAUACUCAUAGUGGGGGAGAAGGGAUACCCACACAAGCAAAAUGGUGGCUGAUGUGGACACAGAAUGAGCAGUAGGGGCUAUGGGAAGCAGGCUCUGUAGUAUCUAAAAGGUAAGGAACCUGUGGUUUCCAUGGGAGGAGGUGACUGGCCUGUUUGAAUUCCACAGGCUGACAGGACCUGAAAGCCAGUUUUCUGGGCAUCUCCUCGUAUUUGCAGAAUCAGAUUCUGCCCUCGUAUUUAUCGAUCACGGUCACGGUUGCUGGGGAAGGGGAAGCAGGAGGGGUGAGGAAAACGUGCCCAGGGGACUGAGGAAAUGAGGAUGAAGCGCCCUCCCAGGACAUCUUACCUACCAGAGGCUGCCGAUUUCUGAUACCCGGCAAUUUGCACGCUCCCGGGAAGCAUGUGCUUGUGAAAUGUUUCGUGAACGAAGGAAAGAGGUGUAGCUGCCCAGAUUCCUGCUGCGGCCCCAGGGAACCUUGCGGUGUUUCCCAAUCCCGCCAGAAGUGGAGUAAAGUUGUGUUUGACAA
ensembl:lncRNA